rnacentral:rRNA from 1 species
UGCCUUCAGGAUGGGGACAACAGACGGAAACGACUGCUAAUACCGAAUAAGUUCCAAGAGCCGCAUGGCCCAUGGAAGAAAAGGUGGCCUCUACCUGUAAGCUAUCGCCUGAAGAGGGGUUUGCGUCUGAUUAGCUGGUUGGAGGGGGUAACGGCCCACCAAGGCGACGAUCAGUAGCCGGUCUGAGAGGAUGAACGGCCACACUGGAACUGAGACACGGUCCAGACUCCUACGGGAGGCAGCAUG